rnacentral:rRNA from 1 species
AUUGAACGCUGGCGGCAGGCCUAACACAUGCAAGUCGAGCGAGCGGCGGACGGGUGAGUAAUGUAUGGGGACUGCCCGAUAGAGGGGGAUAACUACUGGAAACGGUGGCUAAUACUGCAUAUUGACGGAUAACCCAUAUGGGAUUAGCUAGUAGGUAAGGUAAUGGCCUACCUAGGCGACGAUCCCUAGCUGGUUGGAGAGGAUGACCAGCCACACUGGGACUGAGACACGGCCCAGACUCCUACGGAGGCAGCAGUGGGGAAUAUUGCACAAUGGGGGCAAGCCUGAUGCAGCCAUGCCGCGUGUAUGAAGAAGGCCCUAGGGUUGUAAAGUACUUUCAGUCGGGAGGCGUUACCGACAGAAGAAGCACCGGCUAACUCCGUGCCAGCAGCCGCGGUAAUAC